rnacentral:rRNA from 1 species
UACGUAGGGACCAAGCGUUGUUCGGAUUUACUGGGCGUAAAGGGCGCGUAGGCGGCAAAUCAAGUCAGCUGUGAAAUCUCCGAGCUUAACUCGGAACGGUCAGCUGAUACUGUCUUGCUAGAGUACAGAAGGGGGCAAUCGGAAUUCUUGGUGUAGCGGUGAAAUGCGUAGAUAUCAAGAGGAACACCUGAGGUGAAGACGGGUUGCUGGGCUGAUACUGACGCUGAGGCGCGGAAGCUAGGGUAGCAAACGGG